rnacentral:tRNA from 1 species
GGCGGAUGUAGCCAAGUGGAUCAAGGCAGUGGAUUGUGAAUCCACGAUGCGCGGGUUCAAUUCC